GAUGAACGCUAGCUACAGGCUUAACACAUGCAAGUCGAGGGGCAGCGGGAUUGAAGCUUGCUUCAAUUGCCGGCGACCGGCGCACGGGUGAGUAACGCGUAUCCAACCUUCCGUACACUCAGGGAUAGCCUUUCGAAAGAAAGAUUAAUACCUGAUGGUAUGAUGAGAUUGCAUGAUAGCAUCAUUAAAGAUUUAUCGGUGUACGAUGGGGAUGCGUUCCAUUAGGUAGUAGGCGGGGUAACGGCCCACCUAGCCUACGAUGGAUAGGGGUUCUGAGAGGAAGGCCCCCCACAUUGGAACUGAGACACGGUCCAAACUCCUACGGGAGGCAGCAGUGAGGAAUAUUGGUCAAUGGCGA
rnacentral:rRNA from 1 species